AGAUUUGUCUUCCAUAGUUCUACCCCUUCAACGAUGGUGCUCGAGGCGACGAUGAUCUGUAUUGACAACUCCGAAUGGAUGCGGAAUGGCGAUUACGCUCCUUCAAGAUUUCAAGCUCAAGCAGAUGCCAUCAAUCUUAUUUGUGGAGCCAAGACGCAGUCUAAUCCAGAGAAUACGGUUGGGGUUCUCACAAUGGCGGGAAAAGGUGUUCGUGUGCUGGUUACUCCUACCACUGACCUUGGCAAGAUACUGGCAUGCAUGCACGGUUUGGAGAUAGGUGGUGAGAUAAACCUCGCAGCUGGCAUCCAGGUGGCUCAGUUGGCCCUUAAGCAUCGUCAGAACAAAAAACAGCAACAGAGGAUUAUAGUAUUUGUUGGCAGUCCUGUCAAACAUGAGAAGAAGUUACUGGAGAUGAUAGGAAGGAAGUUGAAGAAGAACAAUGUGGCCCUUGACAUUGUUGAUUUUGGUGAAGAAGAUGAUGGCAAACCUGAAAAACUGGAAAGUCUUCUGGCAGCUGUGAACAGUAAUGACACCAGUCACAUUGUUCAUGUUCCUGCUGGUCCAAAUGUGC
rnacentral:misc_RNA from 1 species